AACGAACGCUGGCGGUAUGCCUAACACAUGCAAGUCGAACGGCAGCUCCGUAUCUGCUGGCUCACAGGGGCGUAACGCGGGGGACGGUGCCGGAAUACUUGGGAUUCUACUUCGUAGGGGGGGCUAAUGUCGGGAAACUUCCGCGGAUCACAGAUUUAACGUCUUUGGAUGGGCACGCGUUGGAUUAGCCUGUCGGUAGUGAAAAAGCCUAUCAAGGAGACGAUCCAUAGCUGGUCUGAGAGGAUGAUCAGCCACACUGGGACUGAGACACGGCCCAGACUCCUACGGGAGGCAGCAGUGGGGAAUAUUGGACAAUGGGCGAAAGCCUGAUCCAGCAAGGCCGCGUGAGUGAUGAAGGCCUUAGGGUUGUAAAGCUCUUUUACCCGGGAUGAUAAUGACAGUACCGGGAGAAUAAGCGCCGGCUAACUCCGUG
rnacentral:rRNA from 1 species